rnacentral:rRNA from 1 species
AUUGAACGCUGGCGGCAGGCCUAACACAUGCAAGUCGAACGGCAGCACAGAAGAGCUUGCUCUUUGGGUGGCGAGUGGCGGACGGGUGAGUAAUGUCUGGGAAACUGCCCGAUGGAGGGGGAUAACUACUGGAAACGGUAGCUAAUACCGCAUAACGUCGCGAGACCAAAGUGGGGGACCUUCGGGCCUCACACCAUCGGAUGUGCCCAGAUGGGAUUAGCUAGUAGGUGGGGUAAUGGCUCACCUAGGCGACGAUCCCUAGCUGGUCUGAGAGGAUGACCAGCCACACGGGAACUGAGACACGGUCCAGACUCCUACGGGAGGCAGCAGUGGGGAAUAUUGCACAAUGGGCGCAAGCCUGAUGCAGCCAUGCUGCGUGUAUGAAGAAGGCCUUCGGGUUGUAAAGUACUUUCAGCGGGGAGGAAGGCGGUGAGGUUAAUAACCUUGCCGAUUGACGUUACCCGCAGAAGAAGCACCGGCCAACUCCGUGCCAGCCGCCGCCGUAA